rnacentral:snRNA from 1 species
AUACUCUGGUUUCUCUUCAGAUCUUAUGAAUCUUUCACCUUUUAUUAAAGA